CGUCACAGAGGGUGAGAAUCCCGUAUGUGACUGGCGACCAACCCCAUGCGAAACCCCUUCGACGAGUCGAGUUGUUUGGGAAUGCAGCUCAAAAUGGGUGGUAAAUUUCAUCUAAAGCUAAAUACCGGCCAGAGACCGAUAGCGCACAAGUAGAGUGAUCGAAAGAUGAAAAGCACUUUGGAAAGAGAGUCAAACAGUACGUGAAAUUGUUGAAAGGGAAGCGCUUGCAACCAGACCUGUCCGCGGGCGAUCAACCUUCGUUCUCGGGGGUGCACUCGUCCGCGAUCAGGCCAGCAUCGGUUCGGGCGGCGGGAUAAAGGCCUUGGAAAUGUAGCUCCUCUCGGGGAGUGUUAUAGCCCUCGGUGCAAUGCCGCCCGCCCGGACCGAGGACCGCGCUUCGGCUAGGAUGCUGGCGUAAUGGUUGUAAGCGACCCGUCUUGAAACACGGACCAAGGAGUCUAACAUCUAUGCGAGUGUUUGGGUGUCAAACCCAUACGCGUAAUGAAAGUGAACGGAGGUGAGAACCCUUAAGGGCGCAUCAUCGACCGAUCCAGAUGUCUUCGGAUGGAUUUGAGUACGAGCAUAGCUGUUGGGACCCGAAAGAUGGUGAACUAUACUUGAAUAGGGUGAAGCCAGAGGAAACUCUGGUGGAGGCUCGCAGCGGUUCUGACGUGCAAAUCGAUCGUCAAAUUUGGGUAUAGGGGCGAAAGACUAAUCGAACCAUCGCGCUAGGUGGUUGAUCGGGGUGGUUCACACCUCCAGUCCUCCGGGGCGACAUCACUACUUGCAUGGAUACUUCUCGGGGUUGAUAUGCAGCAGGUGGACCCACAGGGUUCCCUGUCCACAGACCAAAUGGUGAUGGCUGGGGGUCUCGAUAACGGGACCCUGGUUUUGAAAUGGCCGAGUGCCGCUCUUCGCGAGCGGAUAGGUACGCUAGUAGCUGGUUCCUGCCGAAGUUUCCCUCAGGAUAGCAGUAACGUUUUCAGUUUUUAUGAGGUAAAGCGAAUGAUUAGAGGCCUNGGGGUUGAAACAACCUUAACCUAUUCUCAAACUUUAAAUAUGUA
rnacentral:rRNA from 1 species